rnacentral:misc_RNA from 1 species
GAUGAAGAACGUAGCGAAAUGCGAUAAGUAAUGUGUAUUGCAGAAUUCAGUGAAUCAUCGAAUCUUUGAACGCACAUUGCGCCCCCUGGUAUUCCGGGGGGCAUGCCUGUUCGAGCGUCAUUUCACCACUCAAGCCUCGCUUGGUAUUGGGCAACGCGGUCCGCCGCGUGCCUCAAAUCGUCCGGCUGGGUCUUCUGUCCCCUAAGCGUUGUGGAAACUAUUCGCUAAAGGGUGUUCGGGAGGCUACGCCGUAAAACAACCCCAUUUCUAAGGUUGACCUCGGAUCAGGUAGGGAUACCCGCUGAACUUAAGCAUAUCAAUAAGCGGAGGA